UACUACAUAAUCAUGAGAAAUUGAGUUCC
rnacentral:piRNA from 1 species